rnacentral:rRNA from 1 species
GAUGAACGCUAGCUACAGGCUUAACACAUGCAAGUCGAGCGACUGGCGCACGGGUGAGUAACACGUACCCAACCUGCCCUUUACUCGGGGAUAGCCUUUCGAAAGAAAGAUUAAUACCCGAUAUAAAGGAUGGGGAUGCGUUGCAUUAGGUUGUUGGUGAGGUAACGGCUCACCAAGCCUUCGAUGGAUAGGGGUUCUGAGAGGAAGGACCCCCAGAUUGGAACUGGGACACGGUCCAAACUCCUACGAGAGGCAGCAGUGAGGAAUAUUGGUCAAUGGGCGCUAGCCUGAACCAGCCAAGUAGUGUGAAGGAUGAAGGCUUAUGGGUCGUAAACUUCUUUUAUAUACGAAUAUGUAUUAUAUGAAUAAGGAUCGGCUAACUACGUGCCAGCCGCCGCGGUAAUUC